GGACACGCCCCUUUGAGCUGCGUGCUACAGCGAGGCUAAGCUAGUGGGGGAAAAGUUUCAGUGCAUUCCGUUGAUGUAGACGGCGUGAAAACGGAAACAAGUAUGCUGGCUCACUGUGCUGCAUACAAUUGCACACUGCGUCGUACGACUGAGACAAGGAAACUUGGAAGGACUUUUCAUAGGUUUCCCAGAGACUAUGGGUUGAGGAGGAAGUGGAAGUUUGUCGGCUUAGACCUGGUGUCAUUCCAUCAGUGUUAAACUUCCCGGCUCAUCUUGGAAGAGUACGUGCCAGAAAGACCACGACCAAGCAGCCUUGAGAUCUUAGGCAGCGUCUCCCUGAGACCAAAGAACUACAGACUCUUCACAACCUGCUCAAACUCUUGGUACAGGACCUCACUACACGGGUCAAAGUUUCCUUCUCAUUUCUACUCUGAAGCUUACCUUCUCCUGCUCAAACUGCUGACAAAUGUUUCUGCUGCUCUAAAGUCUGGUCUCCAGAACUUCCUAAAAACUCUCAGACUCUUCUGCUGCAGGUUGCUUUGUAGAACUGUUCCAGAAAACCUCACUAAACCACAUGGAGGGGCCUCAAGAUAGUCGUCCAAAUGAAACCAUACAAAAACCAAACUAGCACAACCCAAACGCUAAAGUCUCCUGCAGCCUACCAGAGAACCUCUGAGAACAGAGAAUCAGGACAGGAACUCUUACCUUCUGGACAACCAACGUUGGUUCUCAAACAAGAAUACAGAAUGUGUCUGACCAAAAACCUCUGAAGACUCACUACAGCCAAGAUAAAGACACAACUCAGCUGCAGCAAAUCCACUAAUCACUGCACACAUUAGUACCAUGUGCUAACUGUGGCUAAAGAACCACAUUUACCAAGACAACUAUCCAGUACAAAGCCCUAAAACACACCAAGAAACACAUUAAAGACGAUUUUACUGCUGGAAGCUGCAAGCCAACGCCUAAAGAACAGAGUAAAGCAACGGAGCUAAACCCGGUUCACUGGUGAAGAGAAGCAGAGGAAAUGUUUGGCUGCAGCUAAAUAAAGCAGGAAGACACUGAGCUGCUCAGGUGUUCCUGAUAACACCAAGCAGCCACCUGGACAGCCAAUAGGAACACAGCUUACUGGAAGUCCAGAGGGCUGGGUUAGUGAAGGAAAUUUAAUUUAAAGUUGAAGCAGAAAGUUAAUAAAGUUGAAAACCACCUUCUGAU
ensembl:lncRNA